AUGCACCGAAGCUGCGGCAGCGACACUAUGUGUUGUUGGGUAGGGGAGCGUUCUGUAAGCCUGUGAAGGUGGCCUGUGAGGGUUGCUGGAGGUAUCAGAAGUGCGAAUGCUGACAUAAGUAACGAUAAAGCGGGUGAAAAGCCCGCUCGCCGGAAGACCAAGGGUUCCUGUCCAACGUUAAUCGGGGCAGGGUGAGUCGACCCCUAAGGCGAGGCCGAAAGGCGUAGUCGAUGGGAAACAGGUUAAUAUUCCUGUACUUGGUGUUACUGCGAAGGGGGGACGGAGAAGGCUAUGUUGGCCGGGCGACGGUUGUCCCGGUUUAAGCGUGUAGGCUGGUUUUCCAGGCAAAUCCGGAAAAUCAAGGCUGAGGCGUGAUGACGAGGCACUACGGUGCUGAAGCGACAAAUGCCCUGCUUCCAGGAAAAGCCUCUAAGCAUCAGGUAACAUCAAAUCGUACCCCAAACCGACACAGGUGGUCAGGUAGAGAAUACCAAGGCGCUUGAGAGAACUCGGGUGAAGGAACUAGGCAAAAUGGUGCCGUAACUUCGGGAGAAGGCACGCUGAUAUGUAGGUGAAGCGACUUGCUCGUGGAGCUGAAAUCAGUCGAAGAUACCAGCUGGCUGCAACUGUUUAUUAAAAACACAGCACUGUGCAAACACGAAAGUGGACGUAUACGGUGUGACGCCUGCCCGGUGCCGGAAGGUUAAUUGAUGGGGUUAGCGGUAACGCGAAGCUCUUGAUCGAAGCCCCGGUAAACGGCGGCCGUAACUAUAACGGUCCUAAGGUAGCGAAAUUCCUUGUCGGGUAAGUUCCGACCUGCACGAAUGGCGUAAUGAUGGCCAGGCUGUCUCCACCCGAGACUCAGUGAAAUUGAACUCGCUGUGAAGAUGCAGUGUACCCGCGGCAAGACGGAAAGACCCCGUGAACCUUUACUAUAGCUUGACACUGAACAUUGAGCCUUGAUGUGUAGGAUAGGUGGGAGGCUUUGAAGUGUGGACGCCAGUCUGCAUGGAGCCGACCUUGAAAUACCACCCUUUAAUGUUUGAUGUUCUAACGUGGGCCCCUUACCGGGGUUGCGGACAGUGUCUGGUGGGUAGUUUGACUGGGGCGGUCUCCUCCUAAAGAGUAACGGAGGAGCACGAAGGUUGGCUAAUCCUGGUCGGACAUCAGGAGGUUAGUGCAAUGGCAUAAGCCAGCUUGACUGCGAGCGUGACGGCGCGAGCAGGUGCGAAAGCAGGUCAUAGUGAUCCGGUGGUUCUGAAUGGAAGGGCCAUCGCUCAACGGAUAAAAGGUACUCCGGGGAUAACAGGCUGAUACCGCCCAAGAGUUCAUAUCGACGGCGGUGUUUGGCACCUCGAUGUCGGCUCAUCACAUCCUGGGGCUGAAGUAGGUCCCAAGGGUAUGGCUGUUCGCCAUUUAAAGUGGUACGCGAGCUGGGUUUAGAACGUCGUGAGACAGUUCGGUCCCUAUCUGCCGUGGGCGCUGGAGAACUGAGGGGGGCUGCUCCUAGUACGAGAGGACCGGAGUGGACGCAUCACUGGUGUUCGGGUUGUCAUGCCAAUGGCACUGCCCGGUAGCUAAAUGCGGAAGAGAUAAGUGCUGAAAGCAUCUAAGCACGAAACUUGCCCCGAGAUGAGUUCUCCCUGACUCCUUGAGAGUCCUGAAGGAACGUUGAAGACGACGACGUUGAUAGGCCGGGUGUGUAAGCGCAGCGAUGCGUUGAGCUAACCGGUACUAAUGAACCGUGAGGCUUAACCUU
rnacentral:rRNA from 1 species